AAAUAAAUACGUUAUACCGUAGACAGCAGGUGCGUUUUCGCGCUUAAUUUCCUGCCGAGGUGUGUGAAUAAACGAAACGGUUGCCCGUUUAUAAUCGUUUCUCACCAUAAAGCCUCCAUGUCUACAUGGGGGCUUUUUUCAU
rnacentral:sRNA from 1 species